rnacentral:rRNA from 1 species
CCUACGGGAGGCAGCAGUGGGGAAUAUUGGACAAUGGGGGCAACCCUGAUCCAGCCAUGCCGCGUGCGUGAAGAAGGCCUUAGGGUUGUAAAGCGCUUUCGGCGGGGAAGAUGAUGACGGUACCCGCAGAAGAAGCUCCGGCUAACUCCGUGCCAGCAGCCGCGGUAA